rfam:Methanohalophilus mahii DSM 5219, complete genome.
UAGAUAGGAGUUGGCGACCCAAUCGGUAUGCCAAUCUCACAUAUCAUGGCAUCCGGUCUUACAGGAAUGCGUGCAGCCGGUGACCUUGUUGCCAGGAUGC